UGAGGAAUAUUGGUCAAUGGACGGAAGUCUGAACCAGCCAAGUAGCGUGCAGGAUGACGGCCCUAUGGGUUGUAAACUGCUUUUGUAUGGGGAUAAAGUUAGGGACGUGUCCCUAUUUGCAGGUACCAUACGAAUAAGGACCGGCUAAUUCCGUGCCAGCAGCCGCGGUAAUACGGAAGGUCCAGGCGUUAUCCGGAUUUAUUGGGUUUAAAGGGAGCGUAGGCUGGAGAUUAAGUGUGUUGUGAAAUGUAGACGCUCAACGUCUGAAUUGCAGCGCAUACUGGUUUCCUUGAGUACGCACAACGUUGGCGGAAUUCGUCGUGUAGCGGUGAAAUGCUUAGAUAUGACGAAGGACUCCGAUUGCGAAGGCAGCUGACGGGAGCGCAACUGACGCUUAAGCUCGAAGGUGCGGGUAUCAAACAGGAUUAGAUACCCUGGUAGUCCGCACAGUAAACGAUGGAUGCCCGCUGUUGGUACCUGGUAUCAGCGGCUAAGCGAAAGCAUUAAGCAUCCCACCUGGGGAGUACGCCGGCNCGGU
rnacentral:rRNA from 1 species